rnacentral:rRNA from 1 species
AUUGAACGCUGGCGGCAGGCCUAAUACAUGCAAGUCGAGCGAGCGGCGGACGGGUGAGUAAUGUAUGGGGAUCUGCGCGAUAGAGGGGGAUAACUACUGGAAACGGUGGCUAAUACCGCAUACUAUCGGAUGAAGCCAUAUGGGAUUAGCUAGUAGGUGGGGUAAAGGCUCACCUAGGCGACGAUCCCUAGCUGGUCUGAGAGGAUGACCGGCCACACUGGCACUGAGACACGGUCCAGACUCCUACGGGAGGCAGCAGUAGGGAAUAUUGCGCAAUGGGCGCAAGCCUGAUGCAGCCAUGCCGCGUGUAUGAAGAAGGCCUUCGGGUUGUAAAGUACUUUCAGCGAGGAGGCGUUACUCGCAGAAGAAGCACCGGCUAACUCCGUGCCAGCAGCCGCGGUAAUAC